rnacentral:snRNA from 1 species
CGGUGCCCAACUGCGCGCU